AUUUUCUUUCUAAUUUCUACACCAGUUGCUAGUUCUUUCCUAUGUAAUUCUUUGAGUCGAUUUGUGUCUACCACCUUUUUUAUUCAGGAUGUCUUUAGUGUAGCUAUUCCAACUAGGAAUAACAAAAGGCAAUAAAAGGAAGAUAUGCUUAACAUGUGUACUAAAAAUAAGUUUUCUGUUCCCAAAUCAAAGUUUCCUUGUGUUUGUAAAUUUUUCCUUUUGUCUUUUUCGUUGUUGUGUUUAGUGGUAUGUAUAUAAGAAUGCAAGAACAAACACUCAUGUACAUAUGAAAUCUGAUAGAUUUGUCACAUGUUUGUUAGUGUGGUGCAUUUGGUUGGAGUGUUUCACAUGUUUUUAAAAUUGUUCCAUAGCACAAUACUUGACUUUGAAUCCUCCAAAAGUAAUAGAAGGGUGAUCUUCCAUAUAAGUGGAUCAUCACAAUCCAUCAAAUCUAAUUGGCAAUAGAGGAGAGGGGAGUUGGAGAUCUCACAUCAAUUAAUGAUGAGGUCAAUAUACAAUAUAUAAGUUUAAGAAAAGAAAAUUCUUACUUUACAAGGUGGUUUUAUGAGAAUGAGUUAAAUUUAAAUUCACCUCUUAAUAAAUUAGUUUGACUUCAUUGUAAGAUCGCAACCAACAUAAUCAAUCUCCUUUUUACUUAUUUUCCACAAUAUAAACUCAUGUAUAAGUUUAAGCCAUGGAUUCAAAAAACAUAAGAACACAUGAACACAAUAACAAUAUAAGAACAUGCUAGCCAUAAUGUGCUGAGAAGGGGAAAAGUGAAGAGUAAAAGAUGGAUAAAGGUAAGAAGUGAAGAACAUGGCACUUCUGUUAGGCUUAAAAUAUGAUAUAGACGGAAUCGUCGCUUGAAUUCUUAAAAACUUCGAGAUGAAACAGAGGAAGCAAAUUACUCUCAGUAGAACAACUCGCAAAUUUCACAAAGAAAACAAAUUCAUUCAAAACUGUGAAGCACAGUUACUGUUAGGUUCCUGGGUAUGGAACCUAACUUAGACAACCCACUCACACACUCACAGCAAGGAAAUCAAUUGUAAAAGAAUGAAUAUUUGUAUUCACAUCAGCAAAUGUAUGNNNNNNNNNNNNNNNNNNNNNNNNNNNNNNNNNNNNNNNNNNNNNNNNNNNNNNNNNNNNNNNNNNNNNNNNNNNACUAACUAAGUGCCAAACAACUCUUCCCUCCUAACUGCCCUCCUUUCUUAAACCCAUUAUAACCUAUCACCUUAUAUCCUAUCAUUACCCCCUGCUGCAAAACAACCUUGUCCUCAAAGUUGGUACAGUAAUGCUUGUUCCCAUGGCUCAUCCUCAUCAUAGGAGGGAACCCAAACCCACUGGCUGCUGCCCUCCAAUUCAGGUCUGGAGGCUUGGGUGGUGGUCUAUAUGAAAGAAUUGUUGACUCCUUUAAGAGUUGCUUCUUUUCCAGAAUUCCCAUGGACCAUAUGAUUGUUCUAUACUGCCUUCUGACCUGGUGACCACUUACAUGGGCCUGAAUUUUAACUCUUUUCUGAUGAAUGAUCAAGAAUUCUUUUCUCUCCUUCCACCCCCAAAACCUUUUUUGUAUUUUUAUAGCAGUAGUCCUAGCGAAGCCCUCACCUUGCCCAGAUUUGUUCAUCCUAGAAGCUAAAAAGUAAAGAACUUGUUGAUCUGACCAUCCAAUUCCUUCAUCAUCAUCAUGUUGAGCUAAUUGUUUCCUCUGAAUGUUAUAGUGUAGUCAUGCAAAGAAAUAUCCCUGCCAUUGGUCUUCGGGUGUUUUGUAUGUUUGUGACAACCAUAUUUUUUCCCCACUCAAGUCAGCUGCAUCUUCUACUUUAUUUCCAGCCAUAAUAGCCACCAUGUUCCCACCAUGUUCUGCUUUCUUUACUCUGUCUUCACCCUUCUCCACUGUUUUGACAUACACAUCACCACCUACCCCACUAUCUUCCCUAGAAACAAUAUUUUUUGCCACUUCCUGGGCAGCCGUAAAAAUAGCAGCUUUUGCAACUUUCUCAGCAGCAGUAAAAACAGCAACUUUUGCAACUUUAUCUGCAACAGUAAAAACAGCAGCUUUUUCAACUCUUCCAGCAGCAGUCACACCCAUGUCUCCAUCACAGUUUUCAUCAUUGCCUUCCUCUCCACAUAUAUUUUCUUCUCUCCUAUCUUGCCCUUUAAUUCUUGCAAAACCAUCAACACUCAACUGCAACUUCCGUCUCUCUUUUCUUCUCCAAAACAGAGCCUCUAUCUCUUCCUGCAAACCCCAUUAUUAAUGCCUCUUUUAGCCCUUUCCAAGAAAGGUUCUUGGUUUUAUUUUUCCAGGCCCUGAACCAAUAGAUUGUGCCUCCCUCCAUGCAGCUGUAAGCCAACCUGAGCCUCUCCUUAUGAUAGGUUUCUUGUUAAAGAAAUCUUAUCUCUCACUCAACAACUCUCGAAAACAGUACAAAAAGUAUGUAUAACCUCUGAUAUUAUUGACUUCAAGAAAGAAUGCAAGAACAAGAAGAACAAAGGAAGCUUAACCUUCCCCAACAAGGAUAACCAAAUCCUGUUUUAGAAACUACUAACAGUCCAAAAGUCCCCCUCUACUCCUCACGCUCUCCUAUUUAUACAAAGAUAUAUUCCCGCCCUUCCUAACUGUUAACACAGUUAGGCAACUACUCCCUCUAACUGUUAACUAACGUCAACAACAUCCUAUCACCUUAUCUGUGACAUUUUGGGUGUCAAACAACUUCUCUACCUGAGAGAUCCAUCCCAAUGGGUCCAGCCCCUCAAACCUGGCCAAUUCUACCUGCCGCCUCCAAUUUUGUGCACCCCUGUCUUCCUCCAUCUCCUCUUCAUCUGAAAGUUUCUUGGCUUUCUUGAUGUCUAGCAGACUAUCUUGCACAACACCCCUAUCUGUUUCUCCCUCUUUCUUUCCUUUCCUGACAGUUUUCUUACUUUUUUCUGAGCCAUUUAUGUGAUUCUUGGAUUUCUGCAGUAUUUCUUUUAUUUCUUCUCCAUUCUGCUAGCUCCCUUUUAUGUUUGCUGGCCCACCUCUCCAAAGUAUUGAUUCUUCCUUCCAUGCCUCCACCCUUUCUUGAUCACUUCUUGAUCACUUCUUGUUCCCUUAUUGAUCUAGGAGAUCCUGCAGUUUUCUUGAAAAUCCGAUAGCUUCUUGAAACGGUAGCUUCUCACAAAUCCGGCACCCCCACCUCGAUCUGGCAGGUCGGACCAAUUUGUUAGGUUCCUGGAUAUGGAACCUAACUUAGACAACCCACUCACACACUCACAGCAAGGAAAUCAAUUGUAAAAGAAUGAAUAUUUGUAUUCACAUCAGCAAAUGUANGGUACAAUCAGUAANCGAGAGCNUAACCUCCCUCCANAGGCAAAAGUCCUGUCUCUACACAAAGAAUACAAUGAAUCCUCCCCCUUUACAGAACUCACUUCCUAUUUAUAAAGUUUCUCUUCCCCUUCCCACUAACUAACUAAGUGCCAAACAACUCUUCCCUCCUAACUGCCCUCCUUUCUUCAACCCAUUAUAACCUAUCACCUUAUAUCCUAUCAGAUACAUAGUGCUUUUAUACAGGCAUAGUUCUUGGACAUUUGGCUUCAGUUUUGAAAAUUCAAAAAUGGAUUCUAGAACAAUCCUAAAGUGGCUCACCAAGGUCAUGUUUCCCAUGUUUUCCUUGCCUUGUCACACAUCCAAGGCUUGGUUUGCUUCAUUGCUUGGUCUUGAACAUUCCUUUCAUGUGUACCGUCCAUUUGUUCGAAAAUUCCUAUCCUCUUGGGGUUUAAUUGAAGCCCAUCAACAAUUACUAAACUACAAUUAUAAUUAAAAAAUGAAAUUUCAAUCAAAGGAAAAGAAACAUCUCCAAAAAAAUGAAUCUGUGACUGUGAGAUUUCAAAGAAAGAAAACAAAGAAUUAUUUUUUUUUUUAAGUAAAGAGGUUCUUGUUUCUUGUCAUGAUCCUUACGAUGGUUCUAAAAGUUUCCUGCCCUUUUUCUUCUUGUUGAUCAUGCACUCACCAAUUUGGCUUCUAUUUGGUUGAAGUACAUACAUGUUCUAAUGUUAUUCCUCAAUAUAUAUGUUGCUGCAUUGACCAGCUUUGCUCUGCUAAUUUUCUUCCUUUCUUUGUUGUAAUCUGUGCGUGAUAUAUCUUUAGGAUAUCCUGGAAUACUUAUCUUUUGAUGUCAUUGAUAUUUUUUAAUCUGAUGCAUAUAAUGAGAUAUUGUUUGUAUUUUUGGAAAUCGUGGG
rnacentral:lncRNA from 1 species